rnacentral:rRNA from 1 species
UUGGAGGGCAAGUCUGGUGCCAGCAGCCGCGGUAAUUCCAGCUCCAAUAGCGUAUAUUAAAGUUGUUGCAGUUAAGAAGCUCGUAGUUGAAUUUCGGGAUCAAUUUAUUGGUCGUGCUAUUGUACGUACUGGUAUUAUUGAUUCCUACCUUCUGACGAACCAUGAUGUCAUUAAUUUGGUGUCUUGGGAAAUCAGGACUGUUACUUUAGAAAAAUUAGAGUGUUACAAAGCAGGCUCACGCUUGAAUACAUUAGCAUGGAAUAACGAAAUAGGACGUUUGAUUCUAUUUUGUUGGUUUCUAGGAUCGACGUAAUGAUUAAUAGGGAUA